rnacentral:rRNA from 1 species
UACGGAGGGGGCUAGCGUUGUUCGGAAUUACUGGGCGUAAAGCGCACGUAGGCGGAUCAGUCAGUCAGGGGUGAAAUCCCGGGGCUCAACCCCGGAACUGCCUUUGAUACUGCUGGUCUUGAGGUCGAGAGAGGUGAGUGGAAUUCCGAGUGUAGAGGUGAAAUUCGUAGAUAUUCGGAGGAACACCGGUGGCGAAGGCGGCAUCCUGGACCGACACUGACGCUGAGGAGCGAAAGCCAGGGGAGCAAACGGG